rnacentral:rRNA from 1 species
GUGGUUUAAUUCGAAGCAACGCGAAGAACCUUACCUAAGCUUGACAUCCCAAUGACAUCUCCUUAAUCGGAGAGUUCCCUUCGGGGACAUUGGUGACAGGUGGUGCAUGGUUGUCGUCAGCUCGUGUCGUGAGAUGUUGGGUUAAGUCCCGCAACGAGCGCAACCCUUGUCUUUAGUUGCCAUCAUUAAGUUGGGCACUCUAGAGAGACUGCCAGGGAUAACCUGGAGGAAGGUGGGGAUGACGUCAAAUCAUCAUGCCCCUUAUGCUUAGGGCUACACACGUGCUACAAUGGGUAGUACAGAGGGUUGCCAAGCCGUAAGGUGGAGCUAAUCCCUUAAAGCUACUCUCAGUUCGGAUUGUAGGCUGAAACUCGCCUACAUGAAGCUGGAGUUACUAGUAAUCGCAGAUCAGAAUGCUGCGGUGAAUGCGUUCCCGGGUCUUGUACACACCGCCUGUCACACCACGGGAGUUGGAGACGCCCGAAGCCGAUUAUCUAACCUUUUGGAAGAAGUCGUCGAAGGUGGAAUCAAUAACUGGGGUGAAGUCGUAACAAGGUAGCCGUAUCGGAAGGUGCGGCUGGAUCACCUCCUUUCUAAGGA